ACAUGCCUACAACAUAGUGUUAAUGUAUUGCAUCCCAUUAGAACUCCGUAGUUAAGCACACUCAGGCUAGAGUAGUACUGGGAUGGGUGACCUCUCUGAAAGUCCUACUAUUUUACAUGCC
rnacentral:rRNA from 1 species